AAGUUAUUGCAGUUAUAAAGCUUGUAGUUGGAUUUUAGAUCAGGGAAAGCGAUCCAUCUCUUGUAGGUAUGUAUUGAUUUAUUCGACCUUCUUGCUGAGAACAUGUUCUUGAUUUUAAUUAAUUAGGACAUGGAAUUGGUAAUGUUAUUUUGAAAAAAUUAGAGUACUCAAAGUAAGCCUAUACUUUAAAUACAUUAGUAUUGAAUAAUGUAAUAGGAUUUAGGUCCUAUUCAUGUUGGUCUUUGAGACUGGAAUAAUGAUUAAUAGGGACGGUUGGAAGUAUUUGUAUUUCAUUUUUAGAGGUAAAAUUCUUAGAUUUAUGAAAGACAAACUUCUACUAAAGCAUUUGUUAAGGAUGUUUUAUUAAUAAAGAAUGAAAGUUUGGGGCACAAAGAUAAUUAGAUACCAUCUUAUUUUCAACUAUAAAUGAUGACGAUUAACGAUUAGCAAAUGUUAUUUUGAUAACUACUUAAACACCUUAUAAGAAAUCAAAGUUCUUGGAUUUUG
rnacentral:ncRNA from 1 species